UACGUAGGGGGGCAAGCGUUGUCCGGAAUCAUUGGGCGUAAAGAGCGUGUAGGCGGCCCGGUAAGUCCGCUGUGAAAGUCCAGGGCUCAACCCUGGGAUGCCGGUGGAUACUGUCGGGCUCGAGUCCGGAAGAGGAGUGUGGAAUUCCUGGUGUAGCGGUGAAAUGCGCAGAUAUCAGGAGGAACACCAAUGGCGAAGGCAGCACUCUGGGACGUGACUGACGGCUGAGACGCGAAAGCGUGGGGAGCAAACAGGAUUAAGAUACC
rnacentral:rRNA from 1 species